CAUCUGGACCGGAUGAUCGCUGUCCUAGGGUUUAAGCCCGGCGCCGCCGAGCUGUUCCUUAAGGAGAGAGGAAAGUCCGAACUCCACAGAGCAGUGUGCCAGGUAACGCCUGGGGGCCGCGGUUCAAGCCGUGGCUACGGCUCAGUGCCACAGAAAACAUACCGCCUGUCUAAGGUAAGGGUGAAAAGGUGCGGUAAGAGCGCACCGCCUGAACAGUAAUGCUCAGGGCAGGGCAAACCCCACACGGAGCAAGACCAAAUAGGGAAGGAUUCGCCGCUUGCGGUGGAGCGUGCCCGCUCGGUGCGCCAAUAACUUCCGGGUAGGUCGCUGAUGAGUUGGCGCAGCAAUGCGCUACCUAGAGGAAUGAUCAUCGUGCCCGGAUUUCGAUUCGGACACACAGAAUUCGGCUUACAGGUUCAGUUGCUUC
rnacentral:RNase_P_RNA from 1 species